rnacentral:rRNA from 1 species
GGAGGAUAUGUCUCAGCGCUACCCGGCUGAGAGGCAGUCAGAAAGUGUCGUGGUUAGCGGAAGUGGCCUGGGAUGGUCUGCCGUAGACGGUGAGAGCCCGGUACGCGAAAACCCGGCACCUGCCUAGUAUCAAUUCCCGAGUAGCAGCGGGCCCGUGGAAUCCGCUGUGAAUCCGCCGGGACCACCCGGUAAGCCUAAAUACUCCUCGAUGACCGAUAGCGGAUUAGUACCGUGAGGGAAUGGUGAAAAGUACCCCGGGAGGGGAGUGAAAGAGUACCUGAAACCGUGUGCCUACAAUCCGUCAGAGCCUCCUUUUCCUCUCCGGAGGAGGGUGGUGAUGGCGUGCCUUUUGAAGAAUGAGCCUGCGAGUCAGGGACAUGUCGCAAGGUUAACCCGUGUGGGGUAGCCGCAGCGAAAGCGAGUCUGAAUAGGGCGACCCACACGCGCAUACGCGCGUGUGAAUAGUGGCGUGUUCUGGACCCGAAGCGGAGUGAUCUACCCAUGGCCAGGGUGAAGCGCGGGUAAGACCGCGUGGAGGCCCGAACCCACUUAGGUUGAAGACUGAGGGGAUGAGCUGUGGGUAGGGGUGAAAGGCCAAUCAAACUCCGUGAUAGCUGGUUCUCCCCGAAAUGCAUUUAGGUGCAGCGUUGCGUGGUUCACCGCGGAGGUAGAGCUACUGGAUGGCCGAUGGGCCCUACUAGGUUACUGACGUCAGCCAAACUCCGAAUGCCGUGGUGUAAAGCGUGGCAGUGAGACGGCGGGGGAUAAGCUCCGUACGUCGAAAGGGAAACAGCCCAGAUCGCCGGCUAAGGCCCCCAAGCGUGUGCUAAGUGGGAAAGGAUGUGCAGUCGCAAAGACAACCAGGAGGUUGGCUUAGAAGCAGCCACCCUUGAAAGAGUGCGUAAUAGCUCACUGGUCAAGUGAUUGUGCGCCGAUAAUGUAGCGGGGCUCAAGCACACCGCCGAAGCCGCGGCACAUCCACCUUGUGGUGGGUGUGGGUAGGGGAGCGUCCCUCAUUCAGCGAAGCCACCGGGUGACCGGUGGUGGAGGGUGGGGGAGUGAGAAUGCAGGCAUGAGUAGCGACAAGGCAAGUGAGAACCUUGCCCGCCGAAAGACCAAGGGUUCCUGGGCCAGGCCAGUCCGCCCAGGGUGAGUCGGGACCUAAGGCGAGGCCGACAGGCGUAGUCGAUGGACAACGGGUUGAUAUUCCCGUACCCGUGUGUGGGCGCCCGUGACGAAUCAGCGGUACUAACCACCCAAAACCGGAUCGAUCACUCCCCUUCGGGGGUGUGGAGUUCUGGGGCUGCGUGGGAACUUCGCUGGUAGUAGUCAAGCGAAGGGGUGACGCAGGAAGGUAGCCGUACCAGUCAGUGGUAACACUGGGGCAAGCCGGUAGGGAGAGCGAUAGGCAAAUCCGUCG